AUUGAACGCUGGCGGCAGGCCUAACACAUGCAAGUCGAACGAGUGGCGGACGGGUGAGUAAUGUCUGGGAGACUGCCUGCUGGAGGGGGAUAACUAAUGGAAACGGUAGCUAAUACCGCAUACCAUCGGCUAUGCCCCGAUGGGAUUGGCUAGUAGGUGGGGUAAAGGCGCACCUAGGCGACGCUCCCUAGCUGGUCUGAGAGGAUGACCAGCCACACUGGAACUGAGACACGGUCCAGACUCCUACGGGAGGCAGCAGUGGGGAAUAUUGCACAAUGGGCGAAAGCCUGAUGCAGCCAUGCCGCGUGUAUGAAGAAGGCCUUCGGGUUGUAAAGCACUUUCAGCGGGGAGGCGUUACCCGCAGAAGAAGCACCGGCUAACUCCGUGCCAGCAGCCGCGGUAAUAC
rnacentral:rRNA from 1 species